rnacentral:pre_miRNA from 1 species
AGUGGAAUUGCUGGGUCAUAUGGUUUUACGUUUAAUUUUUUGAGGAAUUGUAAGCUAUUUUCCACAGUAGCUGCACCAUCUACAUUCCCACCAGCAAU